rnacentral:misc_RNA from 1 species
AACGCACCUUGCGCUCCUUGGUAUUCCGAGGAGCAUGCCUGUUUGAGUGUCUUGAAGUCAUCAACCCCCUCCGUUUACGUGCGCGUAAAUGGACCGGGUUGGAGUGUGGGGGUGUGCUGCCGAGAGGCGGCUCCCCUCAAAUGCAUCGGUUGGGCCUGUGGGUCGAAAUCGACUGGGCGUUGUACCAUCCUCGCUCGACAGAGACGUUCCCCGCUGUGCCCUUCCCAGACCUGCCUCUUGGAGUGGCGGUCACGAGCGAAAGCUUUUGAAAUCUGACCUCAAAUCAGGUAGGACUACCCGCUGAACUUAA